ACACGGCACCGGAGCUGGUCUCCAGGAGAGAGUCUUAUAGAAUGUGCCGUACUGUGAUGUGUCAAUCAGAAGCACUGAAGCUUCCUGAGUGAAGCCUGGCUUUGCACCUUUUGCCUUUAGAUAUAUAACUCGCAAAGGUCUUAGAAAUGCCGAUGUUUUUCUGUGAACUGAUAUGUUGAAAAUGAGCCACGGGCUAAGAGCUGCACAGCACCACACAGUAUUAUGCUGACUGUUCUCACCGACAACCUCUAGAUCAUGACUGAGUAAUUGGGAAGAUGGGACAUUCUCCCCUCUUUUCCUUUGAUAGGUAGAACAAAAGCUAUUUGCCAAUGAAGCACUUCACCAAAUUGGUGACUUUUCAGUAAUCCACUGCUAAGUAUACAGUGCUACAUCGACUUGCUGUUUAGUCUCCAAAAUAUUAAAAAAUUUAGUGUGUAAUCCUAGCAGUGGGAAGUGGGUUGGAUAAGGCUGCCCCCAGCUAUAUAAUAUGUUUGAGGCUAGCCUAGCUAUUUGAGACUUUGUCACAGAAAAAAAAAAAAAAAAAAAAAAAAACCAUAGUUUUGAUGUUUCCAAAAAGAUUUGUCUUGAGGCUAGGGAGAUGGCUCCAGUGAUUAAGAGCACUGUCUGCUUUUCCAGAGGACCCAGUUUGAUUCCCUCACAACCACUUCAGUCAUAGGGGAUCACACACCUUCUUCAGGCCUCUACAGGCGCUUUACACACAUGGUGCACAGGUGUACAUGCAGGCAGAAUACCCAUACAUAAAAACAUAAAUUUAUUUAGAAAAAGAUUUGUCUCAAUGAGGCUUGACUGGGUGGGGUCUUGAUCAUUUCCUAGAAUUAUGCUAGCAUCACCCAGUGGCGAUUUUUUUCUCCACUCAACCAAAAGCACAAAUACUUGUUUUUUUAGGUCAGAUGGCAGCCAUAUAAAUCUUUUCUUUAUUUAUUUAUCUAUCUAUCUAUCUAUCUAUCUAUCUAUCUAUCUAUCUUUGGUCGUAGUGGAUUAAACCUGGCAGCCUUGCCCAAGCUAAAAGCAUACAAGUGUCUGCUACUGAGAUGUAUACCCUCAGGCCCCCUGUGUUUUAUAAUAAGUGGAAUUGGCUUUAAAUUCAUCCUCCUAUUUCUACUUUUAAUCUCAGAACAUUUAAAAGUAUGUGGGGUGGGGUGGAAAGAUGGCCCAUUGGUGAAGGGUGCUUACUGCUCUUGUAGAGGACUUGGGUUUAGCUCUCAGCUCCCAUGUGACAGGUUCCAAUUUUCAGACUUUUAUGGGCACUGUGCACAUAUGGUACACAUACAAACAUAAAAUUAAAGGAGUGUUUUAACCAGGCAGUGGUGGUGUACUUUAACCCCAGCACUUGGGAGGCAGAAGUGGGCAGAUUUCUGAAUUUAAGGCCAGCCUGGUCUACAGAGCCAGUUCCAAAACAGCUAGGGCACAGACAAAGAAACCCUGUUUCAAAAAAAAAAAAAAAUUCCACUCCCCC
rnacentral:lncRNA from 1 species